CCCACUUGAUCUCGCAAUGCAUCCUCCAAUGCAUUAUCUCAAGCGAGUUUAGGCGAUAACUCCUCGUCGCUCGCUCGGUCCGUUAAGCUUUGUGGAGUUGUUGUUUUAACGUACUCCUCAACAUGUGCGGCCCGUUGCACAUGAUUCUCCCUCUGGAGAAUCGGGACUUAUCCCUCCAAGGUAUUUGUCCCGUUGGAGCAACUUCUCUCUUCGCAUCUUUCCUUAUAGAAGUUUCGGAGACCAC
rnacentral:lncRNA from 1 species